UCCCACCUAGUGCUUCCCCCCACCCCCAGUCUCAGUGGGUACUGAAUGCACAGCCUGAGGAGGACUGGGGUCUCCCUGCCCACGUGGGGGAGGAGCCUCCCUCUCCGAUGUGGGUUCUGUGUGCAGGGAGUCACUGACUUUGCCCCUAGGUCCCUGCUCUGCCCAUCCUCCCAGUGCUGAGCAUCUUUCUGAAUGUCUACCUGAUGAUGCAGCUGUCCUCUGUGAUUUGGGCCGAGUUUGGCAUCUGGAAUGCUGUUGGAUUUGCCAUAUACUUUGGAUAUGGGAUCCGACACAGCUUGGAGGAGAAGAGGGAUCCACAGCUACCAGCCUCCACCUCCCAGACUCUGCAUGAACACACCCCUGGUGCUGAAUCCUCUUAGCCACAGGAAGAAGAUGCUGUGUGUUUCCCUGCAAACCCUGCAUGUGUUUUCUUGUUCAAGCGACACCGUGAUCUUCUGUGGUGUGUGAGUGGGUUGCAUUUAGAGCCCUGUUUUCAUUGACAGUGGACAAAAUCAUUUUAAUAUUGUGUAAUUUUUUUUUUUUUGUCUUUUUGCUAUUUCUUGGGCCACUCCCGCGGCAUAUGGAGUUUCCCAGGCUAGGGGUCUAAUCGGAGCUGUAGCCACCAGCCUACGCCAGAGCCACAGCAACUCGGAAUCCAAGCCGCGUCUGCAACCUACACCACAGCUCUUGGCAACGCCGGAUCGUUAACCCACUGAGCAAGGGCAGGGACCGAACCCACAACCUCAUGGUUCCUAGUCGGAUUCGUUAACCACUGCGCCACGUCGGGAACUCCAUUAUUGUAUAAUUUUUAACUAAACUUUUCUUUCUUUUUCUUUCUUUCCUUCUCUCUUUCCUCUUUCCUUUCAUCUUCCUCUCUCUCUCUCUUUCUUUGUUUCUUUCUUUCCUUUCAAGGGUCACACCUAGGGGAUAUGGAUAUUCCCAGGCUAGGGGUGGAAUCGGUGCUAUAGCUGCCAAACUACACCACAGCCACAGUAAAAUGAGAUACAAACCACAUCUAUCACUUACUCGGCAGCUCAUGGCAACACUGGAUCCAUAACUCACUGCGUGAGGCCAGGGAUUGAACCUGCGUCGUCAUGGAUGCUAGUCAGAUUUGUUUCUGCUGAGCCCGGCCGGGAACUCCUGUAGAUUUAUUAAUGAUGGCCAUUCAGACCGGUUUGAGGUGGUACCUUCCUGUAGUUUUGAUUUGCAUUUCUCGAAUAAUUGGUGAUUAGUGAGCAUUUUUUCAUGUGCCUGUUGGAAAUCCCUAUGUCUUCUUUGGAGAACUGUCUAUUUAGGUCAUCUGCCCAUUUAUUUAAUUGGGCUGUUUGCUUUUUUUGCUGUUGAGGUGUAUGAGGUUUUUGUCUCUUUUAGAGAUGAAGCCCUCUUUAGUGGCAUUGUUUGAACUCUUUUCUCCCAUUCUGUACAUUGUCUAUUUUUUUAAUGGUUUCCUUUGCCUUGCAAAAGCCAC
rnacentral:lncRNA from 1 species